rnacentral:rRNA from 1 species
UACGGGGGGAGCAAGCGUUGUUCGGAUUUACUGGGCGUAAAGGGUGCGUAGGCGGCCAAUUAAGUCAGUGCUGAAAUACUCUAGCUUAACUAGAGGGGUGGCAUUGAUACUGAUUGGCUUGAGUGAAGUCGAAGUAGGCGGAAAUUUGACGGUGUAGCGGUGAAAUGCUUAGAUAUCGUCAAGAACACCGAUAGUGAAGACAGCUUACUAGACUUCAACUGACGCUGAGGCACGAAAAGUGUGGGGAUCAAAACAGGG